UGUGACCUCAAAUCAGGUAGGACUACCCGCUG
rnacentral:rRNA from 3 species